rnacentral:misc_RNA from 1 species
GACAACCAAAGAACAAUACAUGCAAUUGAUUUAUAAGCAUAAAUCAAAUAUAACAUUUUUCUUAACAAUUCAUUGAUAACUCAAGUACAUUAGCGCACCAGAUGAUAACACAAGAAGUUGAUGAAAUUCAAACACUCAAGGUUAUACAAAUACAAAUACAACUCAAAUUGGAUAUUAGACAUACCAAUUCAAGGCAAUGCAGUGAGUCUGGCCUCAAACACAAAUCCCCUCCAAAGCCCAUCUCCACCCCCUGGCGCCCCAUCAAUCCACCUCCAACAAUUCUUUUCUCCACCACAAUCAACCCAUAGCGCCAAUUUGCCCACCCUCUUGGCAGAGAAACAAACUCUAUCCCCACCACCAAACACCUUCAACUUACUAGACUCCUGGAAACACCUGUACAUCUCCACAGGCAUUCUCCCAGCCUCUUCCCAUUCUAAUCUCUCCAAAUCCAACCUCAAUAUCAAUAUCGUCGAACACGAUGGGUUCAACGAGAACGUCGAUUUCAAACCUCCAACCAUCAACAGCUUAUUCCCGUUCCCACGAACCAAACGAGGCCGUUUUAUGAUAUCGAAGAGAUCCGCCCACUCGUGCUUCUCCAAGCAAACCCAGUGGUUUUGAUUCGAUGAAGAUGACGAGGACGACGAUGUGCUGCUGGUUUUGAGGUUGUUGGGAUAAUUGAGACUAGAGAGUUUGCAAGUAAAGAGCUUCCAUUGGGACCUCCAGGGAGACCCAACAUCGCAUAAAGCAAAAACCGAGUUCGAAACUAAAAUUGGGCUUCUGGGUUUUGAUGGGAGAUUUGAAGAGAAGGUUAGCCAAGAAUUUGCGUUCGUGUUUGAUAAGUAUAAAGCCGCGAGUUCCAUGAGUACCAUGACUCGGCUCGCCGAGUCAACCAGGACAGCGCCGUGUCUCGACCAGGCCGAACCCAGCUGAGGUAACACCUUGAAUCGGCCAGUCAACGGGUUGCAAACCACGAGCGACUUGCUUGACUCGGUCGAGUUGGGCGAGUCACCCCAUAAAUAAACGAGUCCACCAGCUGAUGCCACAGGGUGAGGAGACCUGAAAGGUAAAAAGCUUAGAUUAAAUCUGAGCCACUGGCUUUGGUCAGGGUCGUAAACGUGAAGGGAGGGCAGAAGCGACAGGUGGCUAUGAUGACGGUGGUGGUGGUGGUGGUGGUGAUGGUGGUGAGGGGGCCGUAGAGCAAGGAAACGAAGAGGGGGUUGGGUGGAGAUAAGGUCCAAGAAAGAAGGCGAAGUCAAAAUCUGAUUAAAGAACUUGCAGACUGACCGGCAGAUCAUGAUUUGCCGAAGCGGAAGAGAGGAGAAGAUCUGGUGGAGCGUAUCCUGGGGCAAUCUGUUGAUCGGCGACGAAUCCAUUUGUUUUGGAUGGACCGGCGAUGCAGCGGAUCACCCAAAAAGGGUGGGAGACAACAGAAGAAUUGGAUGGGAGAGAAAAUGGAUGUGGUGUUGCCGUUUUGGUGCGACUCCUUGUCUGAGUUCAUACAGUUAGCGCCUCUUUUUUUUGUCGAUUAAAAAGUUGUAUUUCUG